rnacentral:rRNA from 1 species
AUUGAACGCUGGCGGCAGGCCUAACACAUGCAAGUCGAGCGGAUGAAGGGAGCUUGCUCCUGGAUUCAGCGGCGGACGGGUGAGUAAUGCCUAGGAAUCUGCCUGGUAGUGGGGGAUAACGUCCGGAAACGGGCGCUAAUACCGCAUACGUCCUGAGGGAGAAAGUGGGGGAUCUUCGGACCUCACGCUAUCAGAUGAGCCUAGGUCGGAUUAGCUAGUUGGUGGGGUAAAGGCCUACCAAGGCGACGAUCCGUAACUGGUCUGAGAGGAUGAUCAGUCACACUGGAACUGAGACACGGUCCAGGCUCCUACGGGAGGCAGCAGUGGGGAAUAUUGGACAAUGGGCGAAAGCCUGAUCCAGCCGUGCCGCGUGUGUGGAGAAGGUCUUCGGAUUGUAAAGCACUUUAAGUUGGGAGGAAGGGCAGUAAGUUAAUACCUUGCUGUUUUGACGUUAACAACAGAAUAAGCACCGGCUAACUUCGUG